ensembl:lncRNA
GGAUGGACAGACCAGGCCUCUCACACUGGGCAGACAGGGGCCCUGGGAUGGACAGACCAGGCCUCUCACACUGGGCAGACAGGGGUCCUGGGAUGGACAGAUCAGGCCUCUCUCACUGGGCAGACAGGGGUCCUGGGAUGGACAGGUCAGGCCUCUCUGACUGGGCAGACAGGAGUCCUAGGAUGGACAGAUCAGGCCUCUCACACUGGGCAGACAGGGGUCCUGGGAUGGACAGAUCAGGCCUCUCACACUGGGCAGACAGGAGUCCUAGGAUGAACAGCUCAGGCCUCUCUCACUGGGCAGACAGGGGUCCUGGGAUGGACAGACCAGGCCUCUCUCACUGGGCAGACAGGGGUCCUGGGAUGGACAGCUCAGGCCUCUCUCACUGGGCAGACAGGGGUCCUGGGAUGGACAGACCAGGCCUCUCUCACUGGGC